rnacentral:rRNA from 1 species
UCCCAGACUCCUACGGGAGGCAGCAGUGAGGAAUAUUGGUCAAUGGGAGGAAUCCUGAACCAGCCAUGCCGCGUGCAGGACGACGGCUCUACGAGUUGUAAACUGCUUUUGUACCGGGGUAAAAUGCCUUACGAGUAGGGUUUUGAAAGUACGGUACGAAUAAGGAUCGGCUAACUCCGUGCCAGCAGCCGCGGUAAUACGGAGGAUGCGAGCGUUAUCCGGAUUUAUUGGGUUUAAAGGGUGCGUAGGCGGACUGUUAAGUCAGCGGUAAAAGCCCGGGGCCCAACCCCGGCGAGCCGUUGAAACUGGCUGUCUUGAGAUGUCGAGAGGUAUGCGGAAUGCGCAGUGUAGCGGUGAAAUGCUUAGAUAUUGCGCAGAACUCCGAUUGCGAAGGCAGCAUACCGGCGGCGAUCUGACGCUGAGGCACGAAAGCGUGGGUAUCGAACAGGAUUAGAUACCCUCGUACAG